GGUAGCUAUUUUAGCUUGGCCCAGUGGCAGGAGCUUGAGUUGCAGACUUUGAUAUUCAAGGAUGCUAAGGGGCAGUCGUGCGAAGGGGCAACCGUGCGAGAGGGAUGCAAAGGUUUUCUAGUCGUCGUCGGACUGAGCUGGUGGCGGUGGAGGUUUUCUGGCAAUGGUGCAAAGAGACGAAACAGAGCAAAGUGAAGGACAAUUAGAGUUCUGGUCGUAGUGAUUUUCUACAGAUGAAGUUAUUCAGUGUGAGUGAGACUAUUGAGAUUAUGGUGUGAUUUCUAAUGUGGCAAUAGAUGAAAUGAGGGUUGCUUUCCUUCUAAUAACAGCACGAUCGGUUAUAA